rnacentral:rRNA from 1 species
UACGGAGGGGGCUAGCGUUGUUCGGAAUUACUGGGCGUAAAGCGCACGUAGGCGGCUUUGCAAGUUAGAGGUGAAAGCCCAGGGCUUAACCCUGGAAUUGCCUUUAAAACUGCAUCGCUAGAAUUGUGGAGAGGUGAGUGGAAUUCCGAGUGUAGAGGUGAAAUUCGUAGAUAUUCGGAAGAACACCAGUGGCGAAGGCGGCCGACUGGGCCGACCCUGACGCUGAGGCGCGAAGGCGUGGGGAGCGAACGGG